GAUGAACGCUGGCGGCGUGCCUAAUACAUGCAAGUCGAACGCACAGCGAAAGGUGCUUGCACCUUUCAAGUGAGUGGCGAACGGGUGAGUAACACGUGGAUAACCUACCUCAAGGUUGGGGAUAACAUUUGGAAACAGAUGCUAAUACCGAAUAAAACUUCGUAUCGCAUGAUACAAGGUUAAAAGGCGCUACGGCGUCACCUAGAGAUGGAUCCGCGGUGCAUUAGUUAGUUGGUGGGGUAAAGGCCUACCAAGACAAUGAUGCAUAGCCGAGUUGAGAGACUGAUCGGCCACAUUGGGACUGAGACACGGCCCAAACUCCUACGGGAGGCUGCAGUAGGGAAUCUUCCACAAUGGGCGAAAGCCUGAUGGAGCAACGCCGCGUGUGUGAUGAAGGCUUUCGGGUCGUAAAGCACUGUUGUAUGGGAAGAACAGCUAGAGUAGGGAAUGACUUUAGUUUGACGGUACCAUACCAGAAAGGGACGGCUAAAUACGUGCCAGCAGCCGCGGUAAUACGUAUGUCCCGAGCGUUAUCCGGAUUUAUUGGGCGUAAAGCGAGCGCAGACGGUUGAUUAAGUCUGAUGUGAAAGCCCGGAGCUCAACUCCGGAAAGGCAUUGGAAACUGGUCAACUUGAGUGCAGUAGAGGUAAGUGGAACUCCAUGUGUAGCGGUGGAAUGCGUAGAUAUAUGGAAGAACACCAGCGGCGAAGGCGGCUUACUGGACUGUAACUGACGUUGAGGCUCGAAAGUGUGGGUAGCAAACAGGAUUAGAUACCCUGGUAGUCCACACCGUAAACGAUGAACACUAGGUGUUAGGAGGUUUCCGCCU
rnacentral:rRNA from 1 species